GACGUAGGGCGCGAGCGUUGUCCGGAUUUAUUGGGCGUAAAGAGCUCGUAGGCGGCUUGUCGCGUCGACUGUGAAAACCCGCAGCUCAACUGCGGGCCUGCAGUCGAUACGGGCAGGCUAGAGUUCGGUAGGGGAGACUGGAAUUCCUGGUGUAGCGGUGAAAUGCGCAGAUAUCAGGAGGAACACCGGUGGCGAAGGCAGGUCUCUGGGCCACUACUGACGCUGAGAAGCGAAAGCAUGGGGAGCGAACAGG
rnacentral:rRNA from 1 species